UUUCCGUAGGUGAUCCUGCGGAAGGAUCAUUAUUGAAUAAACAGUGUGGGUUGUUGCUGGCCUUCUGGCAUGUGCACGCCUGCCAUAUGUUUCAUUCCCUUCUUUCCACCUGUGCACUAUGUGUAGGCUAUGUAUGCUGUAUUGUCAGGCCCUUCAUAAGGCUUGGUUUAGAGAGGAUGCUUGUCUUUAUGAGACAGGCUCAUCUUGGGCGUACAGGUCUAUGUUUUACACCAACACCAAAUGAAUGUCUUAGAAUGUAUUUUUUCAGGCUCUUGCUAGCCUUUAAACCAUAUACAACUUUCAACAACGGAUCUCUUGGCUCUC
rnacentral:misc_RNA from 1 species